GCCCACAUUCUAGCGGCAACAACAGGUAUGCCAUUCCUCAUCGCGUAAAAUGCUUCAAGUUGCGUGGUGGCAAAUGGCCCAUUGUCAUUCCAGGCUGCAAUGAUAGCACCUUUAUUGCCCUUCGCGCCGGGCUUAACCUGUUCCGUCACGUUUACUGGAUUGAAAAGUGAUGGCUCCCAUUGCCAGUCUGGUUUGUUGGCGAAGUUCAAAGUCCGUGUGUUAUUAAAAAAUUGUGGGUAGGUUGCCGGGAAGAUAGGGGUGUGGUCACUCUUCAAGGACAUAUAUCCCCACCAGUCUUCGGAGUUUAUGUAUCGAUAUCCAUCUUUAUUCAAAAGGAUGGGGUCGGAUUGGCCAUACUGCCAAUGCUGAAUAAUAAUAUCUUUAGAGAUAGUCAUGUCAUCGGAAGGCUCGUAUGUUCCCCAGAUACGAAUAUCUUUUCCGGAUUUCGACUUAACAAACUUGGCCAUUUCAUUGACAAAGUGGAUGUAGACGUCCGCAAGAGUAGGAUCAUACUCAUCAGCACCGAUAUGCACUUCCUUCGUCUGGAACCAUGGGAGGAAUUCUUCCCAGAUAGAUUUAACGAGUGGGAUUGAAUCGGGAUUAGUUAGAUCCAACAAGUCCUUCUUCUCUAAUGCAAGCUCUGGUUUCCAUUUGGUGAGGAAGAGACAGUGUCCCGGUGCUUCGAUCUCUGGAAUGAUUGUGACUCCACGACGCGCACAGUGCUGCUGGAGGUCUUCGAAAUCCGCUCGAGAAAGAGUUUCAUUCGCGCGCUGAAUGACGCCUUUCAAUUGCUCGUUCUCAGGAUGUAGUGAGAACUGGGAGUAUACUUCAUACCACGUAUCAUUGAGUCCUCGGUUUAGAGGAUAGUUAUCACUGCUGUGGUAUUGGAAUUCAGACAUCUUGAAGAAUGAUGCGUAUGAGCAAAGUUCCUUUAGGAAAGAUGGUGUGUACCACUUCCGUCCGGCAUCGAGCAGGUACCCACGACUUGCAUAAGCUGGGGCAUCGAAAAUCCGGCCAGCCGGGAUCUCCUUUUCGCCAUGUACAAGCAAUAGUUGUAAGAAUGUGUGGGUGCCCCAGUACAUUCCACGGGCGCCAGUCCCACCAACAAAGACCUGACCAUUCUUGAUUUCCAGCUCAUAACCCUCCUCCGACUUAGUACCGUCCUCGUAAGUCAAUGAAUCAGCAUCUUGUCUGAACCCUCCUAGAAUAAUGCCUUUGGCAUCACUAGGGACUUCUUUUAUGCGCUGAAGGGUCCAUUUUUCGCCUGUAGCUUGCUCCAGAUCCGAGAGAAAGGUUUCCGCAAAUUCAUAACCGGAGGGCGGGAUGAGGGUCAAUCCAUUCUCAUCUCUUCGUUCCGAAAACUUCUCAUCGAUAUACACCGUUUUGGGGGCUUCCGAGAUUGAGAAGCCCGACCCGGGGGUGUUGUCAUUGCCAGGCCAAUCCACAGGUGGUAGGGUUUGCAGCGCUGCGACAGCUGUGGCAAGCAAGGGUAAUAGUAGACGCAUCAUUGCUUCUGCGCAAGGAGAAAAGCCUAAGUGAUGGGGCAGCUGUUGCUUGCAUUUACAUCGAGUAGCACAGGCAUUGUUAGCCUUUUAUAGGAAAGGCUGUUUGAAAAUAGUGAAGGACCCAUAGCUUCGGCAUUCAGUAAUUGGAUUGUGACACAGCGAAGCAAGCUGUGCGACAAAAAAAUGUCGUAUGCAGCUAAGAUGCUAGCGGAGCUCCACCAGGCGUGGGGGUGCUCCCGUUAUCCGGGGUAAGGCUCAGAUAGGUAACAUCCAGGUCACACCGACAGGAACACCGAUCUGCAAGUCUGAUGAAACUCUUAGACGGUGGUCUGUCUUUGCAUGUAACUCAUGGACCUUUUGUCCAAUGAUUGAAAUUCUCCGCCUUCUUCUACCCCGCAGAGGUUCUGGAAAACAACCCCCACGUCAGGGGAUGUGGGAAAUCCAGGCAAAAGGUACCUGGACUUGAAACAAGCUGAAAGACAAUUGUGGUCUUGGGGGCUCGUGGGGGUUAUACGGGCAAUGGAAUUCAACAGGAAAUUUUAGUUCACCACAUAUGUUCAAAAUGACGAUGUUCAUGAUGAGAACUUACAUGUCAACAAAGUUGGGGUCGAGACGGAUUCCUAUGGGGAUUUACCACUGCAUCAAAGGGGCCAAUAUUUCAAGUAAGGUAGCCAUUUUAAGAUAUGGUAUAUAACAGACUGGUAUAUAAGUUUUUCAUCCAUCUGACAGUUACUCACCGGAG
rnacentral:sRNA from 2 species